rnacentral:rRNA from 1 species
GUGCUUGCACCUUUCAAGCGAGUGGCGAACGGGUGAGUAACACGUGGAUAACCUGCCUCAAGGCUGGGGAUAACAUUUGGAAACAGAUGCUAAUACCGAAUAAAACUUAGUAUCGCAUGAUACAAAGUUGAAAGGCGCUACGGCGUCACCUAGAGAUGGGUCCGCGGUGCAUUAGUUAGUUGGUGGGGUAAAGGCCUACCAAGACAAUGAUGCAUAGCCGAGUUGAGAGACUGAUCGGCCACAUUGGGACUGAGACACGGCCCAAACUCCUACGGGAGGCUGCAGUAGGGAAUCUUCCACAAUGGGCGAAAGCCUGAUGGAGCAACGCCGCGUGUGUGAUGAAGGCUUUAGGGUCGUAAAGCACUGUUGUAUGGGAAGAAAUGCUAAAAUAGGGAAUGAUUCUAGUUCGACGGUACCAUACCAGAAAGGGACGGCUAAAUACGUGCCAGCAGCCGCGGUAAUACGUAUGUCCCGAGCGUUAUCCGGAUUUAUUGGGCGUAAAGCGAGCGCAGACGGUUGAUUAAGUCUGAUGUGAAAGCCCGGAGCUCAACUCCGGAAUGGCAUUGGAAACUGGUUAACUUGAGUGUUGUAGAGGUAAGUGGAACUCUAUGUGGUAG